rnacentral:rRNA from 1 species
UCUUGAGAGUAAAUUGCAUUUGCUACCAGAGUACUAUGAAUGAAUAAAAAUUUAAAACUCAAAGGACUUGGCGGUGUCUUAGACCAUUUAGGGGAACCUGUCUCGUAAUCGACAGUCCACGUUAUACCUGACCUUUCUUUGUAAAGCAGUUUGUAUACCGUUGUCGUCAGGUAACUUUUUAGAAAAAUGAAGUUAGCAAUAUAAAUAAAUUAUUUGGGACGUCAAAUCAAGGUGCAGCUAAUGGAAAGGAGAGGAUGGGUUACAAUUAUUUAAUUUAUAAUUUUACGGAUAUAGUUAUAGAAAAAUUCUAUGUAAGGAGGACUUAAAAGUAAAUUGAUAUAUAAAGACAAUUUGAAUGAGGCUCUGAGACGUGU